GAUCAUGGCUCAGGAUGAACGCUGACAGAAUGCUUAACACAUGCAAGUCUACUUGAAUUUUGGUCUUUGACUUAGAUUUGGGUGGCGGACGGGUGAGUAACGCGUAAAGAACUUGCCUCACAGUUAGGGACAACAUUUGGAAACGAAUGCUAAUACCUGAUAUUAUGAUUUUAGGGCAUCCUAAGAUUAUGAAAGCUAUAUGCGCUGUGAGAGAGCUUUGCGUCCCAUUAG
rnacentral:rRNA from 1 species